UCAGGACGAACGCUGGCGGCGUGCUUAACACAUGCAAGUCGAACGGAAAGGCCCAGCUUGCUGGGUACUCGAGUGGCGAACGGGUGAGUAACACGUGGGUGAUCUGCCCUGCACUCUGGGAUAAGCCUGGGAAACUGGGUCUAAUACCGGAUAUGACCAACUGUCGCAUGGUGGUUGGUGGAAAGCUUUUGCGGUGUGGGAUGGGCCCGCGGCCUAUCAGCUUGUUGGUGGGGUAAUGGCCUACCAAGGCGACGACGGGUAGCCGACCUGAGAGGGUGAUCGGCCACACUGGGACUGAGACACGGCCCAGACUCCUACGGGAGGCAGCAGUGGGGAAUAUUGCACAAUGGGCGCAAGCCUGAUGCAGCGACGCCGCGUGAGGGAUGACGGCCUUCGGGUUGUAAACCUCUUUCACCAGGGACGAAGCGGAAGUGACGGUACCUGGAGAAGAAGCACCGGCCAACUACGUGCCAGCAGCCGCGGUAAUACGUAGGGUGCGAGCGUUGUCCGGAAUUACUGGGCGUAAAGAGCUCGUAGGCGGUUUGUCGCGUCGUCUGUGAAAUUCUGCAACUCAAUUGCAGGCGUGCAGGCGAUACGGGCAGACUUGAGUACUACAGGGGAGACUGGAAUUCCUGGUGUAGCGGUGAAAUGCGCAGAUAUCAGGAGGAACACCGGUGGCGAAGGCGGGUCUCUGGGUAGUAACUGACGCUGAGGAGCGAAAGCGUGGGUAGCGAACAGGAUUAGAUACCCUGGUAGUCCACGCCGUAAACGGUGGGUACUAGGUGUGGGUUCCUUUUCACGGGAUCCGUGCCGUAGCUAACGCAUUAA
rnacentral:rRNA from 1 species